rnacentral:rRNA from 1 species
AACAAACGCUGGCGGCGUGCCUAACACAUGCAAGUCGUACGAGAAAGUCGGCUUCGGCCGGUGAGUAAAGUGGCGCACGGGUGAGUAACGCGUGGAUAAUCUGCCCUCCGGUCAGGAAUAACCAAUCGAAAGGUUGGCUAAUACCCGAUCACACUCUUGCACUGCGGUGCAAUAGUCAAAGAUGGCCUCUGUAUACAAGCUAUCGCCGGGGGAUGAGUCCGCGUACCAUUAGCUGGUUGGUGGGGUAAUGGCCUACCAAGGCGAUGAUGGUUAGCUGGUCUGAGAGGAUGGCCAGCCACACUGGAACUGAGACACGGUCCAGACUCCUACGGGAGGCAGCAGUGAGGAAUCUUGCGCAAUGGGGGAAACCCUGACGCAGCAACGCCGCGUGAGUGAAGAAGGUCUUCGGAUCGUAAAACUCUGUCCUUGGUGACGAAGGAAGUGACGGUAACCAAGGAGGAAGCCCGGCUAACUACGUGCCAGCAGCCGCGGUAAA